UACGAAGGGGGCUAGCGUUGCUCGGAAUCACUGGGCGUAAAGGGUGCGCAGGCGGCGUCGCAAGUCAGGCGUGAAAUCCCCGGGCUUAACCUGGGAACUGCACUUGAAACUACGAUGCUGGAGUAUGGCAGAGGGAGGUGGAAUUCCACGUGUAGCGGUGAAAUGCGUAGAGAUGUGGAGGAACACCGAUGGCGAAGGCAGCCUCCUGGGCCAAUACUGACGCUCAUGCACGAAAGCGUGGGGAGCAAACAGG
rnacentral:rRNA from 1 species